UGUCAAAAUAAUUCUGGCCCAGGAUGGAGCAAGCCAGGUGAAAUAUUAAGUGUAAAAUAUUGUUUACGAAAAAUUUGUCGUGAUGAUGGCACUUGGGAACUCAUUCAGUGUCCAAAAAUCAAAUGCAAAACGCAAAUUGGCAAACGAGAAUUCGAUAGAAACAAGCCUUUUCCUGAAUGCUGUCAGGCACCAAUUUGUGCACCAGGUGAAGAAAUAUAAAACGGAUUUAUCAUACAUACAAACGUAAUUGUUAAUUAUUUUUUUUUUAAUUAAAUAAGCAAAGUGAAUAUAUUUUUUUCAGUAUAAUUUUAUAACUUGAAUAUCCUGUUUAUAUAAACUUUAAUAAUUAUAUAAUUAAAGAAAAAAAAAAAACAACUUUUUGAUUAAAUGAAUAUUUCAUAAGUUGGAAUAUUUAUUUCGGCAAACGAUAUCAUGUUUCUGAUUUUCUCUAAAUAUAAAAACGUAAAUAAGAUAAACAAAAGGUCAUUGCCUCAAGGCAUCUAUUAACCCAGAAAAACAAAUCACUUAAAUCAUCAGCUAUAAAAAAUAGUCAACUUUAUUAUUAUUAUUAUUAACUAAAAACAUCAUCGGAAAGUUUAUUU